AUUGAACGCUGGCGGCAUGCCUUACACAUGCAAGUCGAACGGCAGCACGGGAGCAAUCCUGGUGGCGAGUGGCGAACGGGUGAGUAAUAUAUCGGAACGUGCCCAGUCGUGGGGAUAACGUAGCGAAAGCUACGCUAAUACCGCAUACGAUCUAUGGAUGAAAGCGGGGGAUCGCAAGACCUCGCGCGAUUGGAGCGGCCGAUAUCAGAUUAGGUAGUUGGUGAGGUAAAGGCUCACCAAGCCGACGAUCUGUAGCUGGUCUGAGAGGACGACCAGCCACACUGGGACUGAGACACGGCCCAGACCCCUACGGGAGGCAGCAGUGGGGAAUUUUGGACAAUGGGCGCAAGCCUGAUCCAGCAAUGCCGCGUGCAGGAUGAAGGCCUCGGUUGUUAACGUAGUACGUUUGUUACGUAACGGAAACGGUAACGG
rnacentral:rRNA from 1 species